GAUGAACGCUAGCGGCAGGCCUAAUACAUGCAAGUCGAGGGGCAUCGGGUGUAGCAAUACAUGCCGGCGACCGGCGCACGGGUGCGUAACACGUAUGUAAUCUACCUUUAACAGGGGGAUAGCCCGGAGAAAUCCGGAUUAACACCCCAUAGUCUAGUGAAGUGGCAUCACUUUGUUAGUAAAACUCCGGUGGUUAAAGAUGAACAUGCGACUGAUUAGUUAGUUGGUGAGGUAACGGCUCACCAAGACAUCGAUCAGUAGGGGUACUAAGAGGUUAUACCCCCACACUGGUACUGAGACACGGACCAGACUCCUACGGGAGGCAGCAGUAAGGAAUAUUGGACAAUGGGGGCAACCCUGAUCCAGCCAUGCCGCGUGAAGGAAGAAGGACCUAUGGUUUGUAAACUUCUUUUGUAGCAGAGAAAACCCCUUUACGUGUAGAGGGUUGAUAGUAUGCUAAGAAUAAGCAUCGGCUAACUUCGUGCCAGCAGCCGCGGUAAUACGAAGGAUGCG
rnacentral:rRNA from 1 species